rnacentral:rRNA from 1 species
UACGUAGGGUGCAAGCGUUGUCCGGAAUUAUUGGGCGUAAAGAGCUCGUAGGUGGCCUGUCGCGUCGGCUGUGAAAACUCGAGGCUCAACCUCGAGACGUCGGCGGAAACCAUCUGGCUAGAGUCCGGAAGAGGAGAGUGGAAUUCCUGGUGUAGCGGUGAAAUGCGCAGAUAUCAGGAAGAACACCCGUGGCGAAGGCGGCUCUCUGGGACGGUACUGACGCUGAGACGCGAAAGCGUGGGGAGCGAACAGG